GGUUCCUUCAGAUUCAGACAGCAGUGAAACAGAAUCAGAAGGUACAAGCGAUGAUGACGACGACAAUAAAUUAGGCAGUGAUAAUGAUGAUGAUGAAGACAAAAAUGAGAAAACAGGCUCUCCAUUGAAACACAAAACAUCAAAGAGUAGUGAAGAUAGUUCAAGUCAAACUGCUGGCAAAAAUGAGUCCAAAAAGCGGCC
rnacentral:misc_RNA from 1 species